rnacentral:rRNA from 1 species
GACGAACGCUGGCGGCGUGCUUAACACAUGCAAGUCGAGCGGUAAGGCCCUUCGGGGUACACGAGCGGCGAACGGGUGAGUAACACGUGGGUGAUCUGCCUCGCACUUCGGGAUAAGCCUGGGAAACUGGGUCUAAUACCGGAUAUGACCUUUCAGUGCAUGCUGUUGGGUGGAAAGAUUUAUCGGUGCGAGAUGGGCCCGCGGCCUAUCAGCUUGUUGGCGGGGUAACGGCCCACCAAGGCGACGACGGGUAGCCGACCUGAGAGGGUGACCGGCCACACUGGGACUGAGACACGGCCCAGACUCCUACGGGAGGCAGCAGUGGGGAAUAUUGCACAAUGGGCGGAAGCCUGAUGCAGCGACGCCGCGUGAGGGAUGACGGCCUUCGGGUUGUAAACCUCUUUCGACAGGGACGAAGCGCAAGUGACGGUACCUGUAGAAGAAGCACCGGCCAACUACGUGCCAGCAGCCGCCGUAAAC